rnacentral:pre_miRNA from 1 species
UAUUAAAAUUUUCAUCAAUUUCUACUAUUAAAAAUUAAUAUUGUAUCUGACGGACUAAUUAAAUAGAUACAUGUGGCGUGCAACAUAUACCUUAUUAUGAUGUACAUAGACCAGUUUUUAUAGUAGAAAUGAAUGAAAUUUUUAACA